rnacentral:lncRNA from 1 species
UGGAAUUGAAAUUACUUAAAUGAAAAUGGAAGUACCUACGGCCGAAAGUGCCGUGAAAAACAUAAACAGUAAAGUAUGAGAAAAUGCCCACAGCCUGGGCUAGCUUCAACUCUCAAACAAUGCACAACAGGACGGAAUUUCAGCACCCUUGGCUUGUGAAGCUCUUCGGGUAUUUAUAGGAGUAACUAGGGUUCGAAGGCCCAGCCCAUGACUUGCGGCCGGAUCCAUGCAAGCAUGGAGAUGCGUAUCCUUUUUCAGACCUAAUCUUCAUGAAGAUAUGUUU